ACAAAAAAAAAAAAGGAAAAAGAAAGAUGUAGAAAGCUAUAGUCUGCUAAUACAUAUUAAUGAGCUAAAUUUUGCAGGGAAACAUCUCCUCAAGGUGAUUCAAGACCUUGGGAGCUCCACAUUCCCACUGAAAAUACUUCCUCCACCUUUAAAAUAUUUAACUCAUAUAGCAGUAUUUAUUUACACAAUACGCUUAAUUGGAGAAAUAUCCUCAAAUCUCAGACGAUGACCCCAAGGACACCUGUAACUUCUCACUAGCUGUAAUGCAGGCUGAAACAAUAAAUUUCAUGGUACAUACCAACUGAGCUGAACUACGAUGAUGAUUUAUUAGUGUAGUCACACAGUUUACUGAAGUUUUUAACAUGACAGUUAUAAGCAUUAGCAGCUCUAUUGAUCCAAUAUGCUAGAACCAAAAAACGGCUUGGAAGGGACAGUUCCAAAUGCAUGCUGUGGGCUGGCUGCCCCCCCAUCAGCUCAGGCUGCCCAGGGCCCCCAUCCAACCCGGCCUUGGGCACCUCCAGGGAUGGGGCACCCACUGCUCAUGAUUAACGCUUGAAAACAUUUCUUUAAAAACUGAUUGCAAUUAUUAACGAUUGCCUUUGUUUCCAACUGGGUUUGUAUUAAGUGACUAGAUUAAGGCUUUAAGACUCCUUGCAUGUCCAAAGAAGGGCAACAAAGCUGUGAAGGGUGUGAAACACAAGUCUUAUGCGGAGCAGCUGAGGGACCUGAGAUUGUUCAGUCUGGAUGAGGCUUGGGGAGACCCUGUCACAAUCUACGAUAACCUGAAAGGAGGUUGCAGCAAGGUAGGGGUCAGCCUCUACUCCCAUGCAACAGCAACAGGACAAGAGGCAAUGGACUUAAGUUCCACCAGGGGAGGUUCAGGUAGGAUAUUAGGGUAAACUUCUUCUCAAAACAAGUACUGAUGCACUGGUACAGGCUGCCCAGGGAGGUGGUGGAGACACUGUCCCUGGAGGUGCUCAAGAAAAACGUAGAUGUGGCACUGACUGACAUGGCCCAGAGUGGUAACGGGCAUGGGUUGAUGGUUGGACUAGAUGAUCUUAGUGGUCUUUCCAAUGUUAAUGAUUCUAUAAUUGCACACACACACAAUGCAUGUAAUAUAAAUAUUUAUAAAAUAAAUACUAUCGUUACGUAUACACACAGUUACAUAUAUCUGUCAUACAUAUAUGUGAAAACAAAUGCCGUACUGUUUAAAUCUCACACUCCUGUAGAGCUCCUUUUCCAUUUUACUCACCUAUGCUCCAUUUGAUAUUACCUUAGAAUAAACUUCCAGACAUUUCGCACGCAAUCUCCUUCUCCCCAAAUCCCCUGCAGUAAGACUCACUAAAACUCUCACGGACUUGCACUACCCAGCUGCUCUCCGAACCGGUUAAACAACGCUAUUCCCAGGAAAACAACGACCCACGACACAGCACUUCCCAGCGCUGCGACGAACGGAGCGACAGGCGCCGCGAACCCGGGUCCCCAGAGCCGGGCCCGGGGCAGCGCGGCCGCCACCCGACACUCCCGCGGGCAGCCCCCGGCGCCGGAGGAUCUUGUGUCGCUUAUCGCGAAGGAGAGAGCAAGAUUAUGGCCUGCGCUGAGACCUUGCUGCUGUGUGCUCCCCCUGGCAUGUCUGUCAACGGCAGAGAAACGAUCCUCAGACAACUGGAUAAACCAGACAUUGACACUAACAGAGCAUGUGACUGGAGUUAAGUUUCUUCAGAUUGUCACCUGCUUCAGCCCGCAUCGCGUCAAAGUGGAACCUAAAAGGCUCACAAAAGGGACAGUAAAAAUAAAGGGGUUUUGUUGGCGAGGCACAGAAAAGUAGCUCCAAGCUUGCGUAGUCAGGCUCUACAAGCUCCUUGCUGCCACUUGGUACCAUGGCCCACAUGGAGUGGCUUUCUAGAAGAGAUCAACACUUCAAGAUGGACUACAGAGAGAGAGAGGAAUGCUUUCAAGGCACUUCAAGAGUAGAAAGUAGAAGGAGAAAGAAGACACAAGUAGAAAGAAAACACUUCAGAAGGUAAGUUGAUGUGACCCUGGAGGUAUUUCAGAAAUGCAUGGACAUGGCACUAAUGGACAUAGUUCCAUGAUGGGACUUUGGAAGUCAUGUUGAUGGAUGGAUUUGGUGAUCUUGAGGGUCUUUUCCAACCUAGAUGAUUCUAUGACACUCAUUAGUCCUGGUCUACUGUUAAUGACUGAUGAGUGGCAUAUACCAAAGACAACCUCCCAAACGUUUGAAGGAUAAUUAAACCCGGAAGACUACUUCCACAUGUGAUUCACCAAAGUGAAGGCAGCAGAUGAACUCAAUGGACUGCUCCAAAUUCUUUUUACUACUACUGAUGGGCUACACAAUGCAGAAUUGUGAUAACCACGCAGGGGAUGUUGUAUCCAGUUAAAUAAAUUUUGGUGUCUCCAGGCAGAAAUUAAAAACUCCAAAAUCCUGUGUUAUUGCCAGGAUCGUUAGAAGCCACCUGAAUAACACACAGCACCUCAAAGUAUGAGCUUAUCUACAACACUGGAAUCUUUAACAAAGGGUCUCACCUCCUUUUUCUUCAGGAGAGAUUGCAAUAGUGUAACUGAAGUCAUUAGAGUUGAGUCUGAAUUUGGAUCAUGACCUAGGAAAGAAGACUCAAACCCAAACUGUUUUUAGCAUGUGUAUUUAUAUAUUUUAUCAUAGCAGCAAAUUCUUACCUCUCUGAUUUUCCCCUUUCUUUGUGACAAGCACAAUGGAGAACUCUUACAAGAUGUAUUACGAGUUCUAAAAGCUGCAGCAUAGUUGGAAACUGACUUCACAGUCUCCUUGCUGAAAGUGGAACCAGCCAAGCAAACCCCUUUGUCAGAUCACAUGUUAACCCCAGACCUUAGUGUUAUUUUUCAUGGAGAAAAAAAUAAGGUAAGAAACCACAUAGCUGUGGUCAGAACAAAAUGAAGUUGGAGGCUACAUCCUGCCCUGAGCGUAUGUGUUCCUCAGCCCUAUUGAGGAGGGUUUUCCUGGCUGAUCCAU